rnacentral:SRP_RNA from 1 species
CGCAGGGUCCCGCUCGAUCACGAACCUCGUGAAUUCCGUCAGGUCCGGAAGGAAGCAGCGGUAGCGGGGAUUCGGUUGCGAGCGGGGGUGCCCUGCGAUC